UACGUAGGGCGCAAGCGUUGUCCGGAUUUAUUGGGCGUAAAGAGCUCGUAGGCGGUUUGUCGCGUCUUCCGUGAAAACUGGGGGCUUAACUUCCAGCUUGCGGUGGAUACGGGCUGACUGGAGUGCGGCAGGGGAGACUGGAAUUCCUGGUGUAGCGGUGAAAUGCGCAGAUAUCGGAAGGAACACCGGUGGCGAAAGCGGCGCGCUGGAUCUCUUCUGACGCUGAGGCGCGAAAGCCAGGGGAGCGAACGGG
rnacentral:rRNA from 1 species